GCUUACGGCCAUACCACCCUGAACACGCCGGAUCUCGUCUGAUCUCGGAAGCUAAGCAGGGUCGGGCCUGGUCAGUACUUGGAUGGGAGACCGCCUGGGAAUACCAGGUGCUGUAAGCU
ensembl:rRNA 5S_rRNA 5S ribosomal RNA